rnacentral:misc_RNA from 1 species
GAUCAAACCCAUGUCAGCACAGGUGUUAAAGGAACUUUUGGUUAUCUUGAUCCUGAUUACUUCAGGACCCAACAAUUGACAGAAAAAUCUGAUGUCUACUCAUUUGGUGUAGUGCUUCUUGAGGUUCUUUGUGCAAGACCAGCUAUCAAUAUCUUGCUUCCAAGGGAGCAAGUAAAUCUAGCUGAGUGGGGUAUAAUUUGCAAGAACAAAGGGACACUUGAACAGAUUGUGGAUCCUUCAAUAAAGAGUCAGAUCAAUCUCAGCUCCCUAAGAAAAUUUGCUGAGAUAGCAGAGAAAUGUCUGCAAGAAUGUAGUGCUGAUAGGCCUCCUAUGGGAGAUGUGCAGUGGUACUUGGAGUAUGCAUUGCAACUGCAACAAACAGGGAUAGAGAGAGAGCCCCAUGAGGACAGUGCAACAGAUGCUUCAGCCAUGUUAGCUUUGCCUAAUAUUCAACGUUUUGGAUCUUUCAGCAUGUCAGCGGAAAAAGAUGAUAUGCCCAUCUUGAGGGAUGACAGUGCAAACAUAUGGGCAAGUGAAGUUUUCUCCCAAUUGAG